rnacentral:rRNA from 1 species
GACGAACGCUGGCGGCGUGCUUAACACAUGCAAGUCACGGGGGCUGGGCAACCAGCAACCGGCGAACGGGUGCGUAACACGUGAGCAACCUGCCUUGGUGUGGGGGAUAGCCGGGCUAACGCCCGGGUAAUACCGCAUACGGUCCUUUGGGGGAGUCCCUGGGGGAAGAAAGCCCGUGGCAACACGGGCGCACGGAGAGGGGCUCGCGGCCUAUCAGCUUGUUGGGGGGUAACGGCCCACCAAGGCGGACGACGGGAGCUGGUCUGAGAGGAUGGCCAGCCACAUUGGGACUGAGAGACGGCCCAGACUCCUACGGGAGGCAGCGAGUGGGGAAUCUUGCGCAAUGGGCGAAA